GACGAACGCUGGCGGCGUGCUUAACACAUGCAAGUCGAACGGUAAGGCCCCAGCUUGCUGGGGUACACGAGUGGCGCACGGGUGAGUAACACGUGGGUGACCUUCCCCGCACUUCGGGAUAAGCCUGGGAAACUGGGUCUAAUACCGGCUACGUCCGCACCGUGAGGGUGGGGUGGAAAGUUUUUCGGUGUGGGAUGGGCCUGGGGCCUAUCAGCUUGUUGGUGGGGUAAUGGCCUACCAAGGCGGCGACGGGUAGCCGGCCUGAGAGGGUGGACGGCCACAUGGGGACUGAGAGACGGCCCAGACUCCAACGGGAGGCAGCAGUGGGGAAUAUUGCACAAUGGGGGGAAGCCUGAUGCAGCGACGCCGCGUGGGGGAUGACGGCCUUCGGGUUGUAAACUCCUUUCACCUUCGACGAAGGUUUUCUGACGGUAGAUGGAGAAGAAGCACCGGCUAACUACGUG
rnacentral:rRNA from 1 species